CAGCGCGUCCUCCUACCGCAGCAACAAAGUGCGGAAUGUAGCGCCACGACAUAAGUAUACAAAAAAAGUGCGGCGCCGUCACGAAACCAGGUUCUUGGUCUUUUUUACUCAUCUGCGCCACCUUCCGCAUGCAUGUUAGCCAUGUCGCACGAAGCGCAGCUGCUGGGAUUGCUGUGGUGCGAAGCAACGCAGCCGUCCUGCAAUGCAGCAACGCUGACGCACAACAUCGGCGUGGCUUUCCGCUACCUGGAGACGCCAUGGGAAGACAAGGCAAAACAAAUCAUCGGUGCGCUCAUAACCCUGAACGCCGGUCCAAUGCACACCACCAUCUGGGCCGCACUAUUUCAGCAGCUCCGUGAAACAGACAAGCCCACCAUCAAGGUAUACGUUCUCAAGCAAUUUGCCAACGUCUGCUGGACAGUUCCCACUAAUCAAGCCGCGAAUGCGUUCCGUGCGUUUGCCCUCGAAGUGCGCCCGCUGUUAGAGGACAUUAAUGUUGUCGUAAAUGCCACUUUUCAGAGGUCAUUUGCCGUCACCAUCAAGUGUUUCAGCUCUUUCGCUGAGAAAGCACUUUCCAAUGAGCUCUUCAGCGCUCUUUACCGGAGUCUGAAAGAGUGGAAACGGCCAGACAGCAUCCGUGCGGCGUCCACUGUCAUCGCAGCUAUGGCCAAUGACAACCCAAGCUGCCCAUCUCCAGAACAACUUCUCCGCCAAGCAAGAUACGACUUGGAUUGUUUCAGCUUUGCUGUACUGCUUGACACUCUCGUGUCUUUCGAAGUUGUUCCCGGUCGUAUUUUGGAUGAGCGACGUAUUGCCGCAUUCCGAGACGAACUGAGCGAGAUAUUAGACAGCAUUCUCGCCGCUCCGCAGGCAAACGAAAAGGUUGUUCCACCCUGCAUCAGCGCAUAUCGACGACUGAAGCAGGUCUGUGAUUCCUGGGAGCCGGUAGCUGCUGAGGCCUUCGCGCUUUUUAUCGUGGAUGCACUUGCUCAAGCAAAGGUUAGCAAGCUUCUUGUUUGCCCGUUCUUGCAUUUUCUGCAUGAAACAUCGUGUGUCUGGUCGCGGAGCUCUAGGACUGUGUGGCAACUCACGGGUAGCAGCGACCCCUUUGUGCGCGCCGAUGCCUACGCGGCAUUGUCGACCACUGUACAUGUCAUAGACGCUCCAGAGCAGCGGCUGGUGUUGUCAGACUUGUUGGAAAGGCUUCGUUUUUCAAUCGCCGACAACUGCAGCGGCACCACUGUCGCCAUUCUCAAAUUUAUAAAGAAGCUUUUGCUGCACGCACGCUUUCCCCCAUCAGCAGAGGGACUGUAUCUUUCGAAGCUGCUGCAUUUGUGCCGUCGUCACGGAAAGGGACUGUAUCACGAUCUGCCUGCGCAACUGGAACUACUCAACGUGUUUCUCUGCGCUAGCAUUGCACCGGAAGCAUUGGUUGUGUUUGCGCUUGAACUUUUUUCGGUGUCUCCUGAUCGUGCGGUUGCGAAAAAGGCGUUUAGCGUGCUUCGUCAUUUCUCGACGGAGGUGUUUCUCGACAGCUGUGUGCAAAACAGUGGAGAAUACAGUGAUGACGCUAACUACUUUGAGGCCGCAAUACAAAUGCGACGCGACGAGCCUUUCGAAGACGAGCUCCUCCCAUUUCUUCGGCUGCAUCGUACCAAAGGGCUUUCUGCAUGCAUAUAUGCACGGCUUUGCACGCUCGCCGAAAAUGAGACGAAAAGCUCCAUGACUUGCAUUGUUGUGUGCGAUGCUGUGAAGGAGAUUAGCAGGACGAGCGCAGCCGCUAUUUUCGACGACAUCUUUUUCAAGCACACAACAUUGUGUCUUUUGUCGCAGCUGCUUGUUCUGCAGGACCCUAUGCCGAGUGAUGCGUACGUGUCCCUUGUGCAGGCAUGCGCAUCUUGUCUUCAAGGCAAUGACCUCCACAUCCGCGAAGACGCACAUCUGCUGAGCAUGCUAGUACAACAUUCGUGGAGUGCAAUCGUAACGUGCACCACAGCUUUGUUUUCUACUUUUCUUCCAGCACCCGUUUUACCCUCGUGCCGCUUUUUCCGCACCGAUUCCCUUUCUCAAGCUUGCCGCCAUCUUAUUUUGAUGUGUCGAGAUAUUGCAUUGUCGAACGAUGUUGCUUUCUACGAUAGUAUGUUGCAUGAGAUGCUUACUAGCAACGUGAGUCUAUUCAUUUCGUGUGUCUCCUUUCUGCGCCAUGCACCAAUUUUUAUAGCGGAGCUGGUGGAGUCGAUGAGCUGCUGGCUUGAAUGCUGCACUGCUCUCUCUACUUGUGUACCCAAAAGUGUGCUUCAACUCCUCACAGUGGUGCUUGAAGCAGCUGAGGAAGAGUUGCCCGUGGGCCGACAGCGAGCGGGAGCAACGCGACACUCUCUUUUGUCGGUUGCACGCAUGUGCAACGGCAUGGUAAAACAAGCAAUUGAAAUGGAUUUGCUGUUGUGCUGCCCUGAAAUCUGCAAUUUUCUGCUAUUUUUUAUUUCAAAAGAUGCAGAUGAUGAGGUAUUUUUGUUUCGCGAACUGAUUGCAAACAACUGGACAUUGAUCGUCGACUUGUUUUCGUUUUGUGAGCGUAUCGCCAUUUGCCUGCACAACGACAACGAUGCUGGCGCCUUAGCUGCAGUUUUGAACCUUCUAUUAGCGUUGUGCGACAGUGUUUAUUUUCCGCAGGUUACAAGCGUUAUUUCACGCGGCUCGUUUGAAAAACUGCUUCAAGUCUUGCGGAAAACAGCCGAUUUCAGCCAAAAGCGCCAGUGUAUGUGCUUUGUCUCCCACAUUCUCGCUGCGUUUGACGAAAAUAACAGCCUGGAAGAAAAGGUGAGCGGCUGUUUUUCAGCGUGUAGUACCGAUGUCGAUUUUUUUGGACGCAUUGAUCGCUUGGUGCAGCUUUGGAAUGCAAGUGAUACCCAAACACAAGCUCGCUUCAAAACCGCGCUUACAAGUUCUAGCAGCAUAGAGAGGCUCGUCUGUGCAGCAGCCGUGGAUGUGCAGUACAUCCCAAAAGCCGUAGAGGCUGCUCUGGGUGCAUCGGCGGACCGCGAGGUACUAGAUGUUCUGCUGCUUAUUGUCACGGAAGCGGAGCCUGAGACACUCUCCCCUCUUUUGUUUGCCAUUAACGAUGAGGUGUUUGGGGAGAACGACGACCUCGUCAAAAGGAUUAUUUGCAGUUAUCGCUGGGGUUGGUAUGGAGGGCAGCAAACAAUGCAAAUGCUGUCGAGUGGCGCUUGGCGAAACUUAAGCACUCCGCUAAGCCAGUAUCUGAAGCUACUUUUCGGGUUUCGCCAGCUGGAAAGAACCGAGCGUGACGUUCGCUGUGAAAGAUAUUUAGGUACAUUGGAUAGCCAUGAAUCCUCUUUUUCAUUUUGGCAGUUGCUAUCAGGCGAGGCAUCUGUAGAAAUACUGCAGCACGAAAUGGAAAAAGGUUUUUCUUUACUGCGUCUGACGGAUGUGCUGCAGCUGAGGGGCACAUCAGCUCUACGUACAAUUCGCUCGCUUUUCGACCAAGGUAUCAGUAUUCUGACUGCUUUCGGUCCCAGUAAUAUUCGUCGUUUAGCGAUCUUAUUCUCCACCGGUGUUGAUUGUGAACUGUCUUCAUGGGACUCUUUAUCAUUACUGCGAUUGCUUCAAGUGCUUGUCAGCACCGCUAGAGACUCUCCAGUGGAGUCUGAGCUGAGUGAGUGGCUGCAGCUAAGUUGUUGGCUCCUUUUUGAUCGAGUUUGCCUUUCUUCAAAUACCAAGGAAACGACGGAGGCUGCGAGCGGACAACGGCCGGCGCAAACGUUCGCGGCCGCUGAAUUAGCCACCGUUUUUGUGCAGCUGUCGAAUCUGUUUCUCUGCUCCACUGCGCAAACCCUUGACGAUGUUGCGAUCUCCGUAAUCCGUUAUGCAACGCGCAACGCUACUCUCUUCACACUGGGAGAUGUCAGCGAGCGUCUUUUUUGGAUGGUCGUGAGUCACUGCAUUUAUGAGGUGUGGGCUACAAUCACAGCGGAAACCGUUGUGUCGGUGCGAGAUCCCGAGAUUAUUGCAUUUUUGUGCCGUGCUCAUGUGAAGGUAGGACUUCCGCGCUCUGUUCAGAGGGAGCUCCAUGCUUUAUUCACGCCACAGCUGCUGUCAUACGGUAAUACGGAUUCCGAGCUCGAGGAGGACAGUCUCCGAUGCAUUUUAUGGCUUGUCGGCAAAUUUGCAAGUGGCGAUGUGCACUCUUCGGUGCGUGGUAGGACUUCUUCGCUACAGUAUGCGCCAAAAUUGACAGGCAAUGCUGAUAUUGGCCCACCACCAUCUGGUAGGCGGGCGCUGAAGUGCUUGCCUGCAGCGGAGAGCAACUUCAGCCGGAAAGACGCACGGUCACUUGCUGCUGCCGUCCGCCACGUUACAGCGCAGCUGGCAGAGAGGGUGCUUGCGAAUACCACAGGUGCUACACCGAGCAAUGUUCUUGAUGCUCUUGGUGCCUUGUGCAACCUUGCGCGGCCCGCACCAGCUGAGUCUGGUCCCGCAGCCCCGCUGUUGUCGAAUGCCGUUAGUCUAGAGCAAGUGUACCGCAUUGCACGCGAUUUCACCGAGGCGUUUCCAAUUCUCUCUGCCGAUGCAUCACUGGAUCCCCCGGGACACUGCCUUGAUCACCUCCUGGGGCAGCUACCAAGAGAGAGGCGUGCUCACAGCAUCCCUGAUGCUUUGUGCCUGAACAGCAUAGCAUGGCUUUUGAGCAAGCUGUUGCAGUCGUGGGGACGAGAGAACGCACCUGACUCGGCGCUGCCUGCUCAGCUUCCAUGCGUGCUCGCCUCGUACCUCCCCUACCUUUUGCGCUGCGACCUGCCGUCUUACCUCUGCUUACUGCAGAGCCUUCGCUACUUGUCAGUCUGCGGCGCAACCCCUGAGGUGGAGGCUGUCUACGACGUCGCCCUGCCGAGACUCAUGGAGGAUUUGGUAGACGUGCGGUGGGGUGCCGGCGUUGCGGGCUGUUGGUACGAGAUGCUCGUUGAUUGUCUCAGUCAUGUUCCAGGUGCUGUCCCAGAUGGUGGCCGGCAGCUCUCGCGGCGCAUCUGGGAAGGGCUGUGGCGUGGAGCCGGCUCUGUGGAGCUCAGCUGCAACCAGCGCUUCACCGAGCGCGUUCAGCGGUCGCUCCAACACGUUAUCCACGGACUCGCGCUCAAGUCUGCGCAGUGGGAGCUCUGCCGCUUGGUGGUGCUUGAUAGCGGUCUGCAGAGUCGACGUGUGGCACUGACACCCGUGGCGGCGUCCGCGUUUUCUAUCGAGUCUAAUGCCGAGGCCUUCUUUUCGCUUGCACGGGAACUUCAGGAGCGGACGUGGCGCUCACAGCUUUUGCAGACACAAUCGGCUUUCGUGCACCACGGCGCUCUGGCCCUUGACGCGGACAGCUCUCGGUCUCUCUUGUUCGAGUUCGAAAAGGCAGUUGCACCGGUUCGCGAAUCACCCGACGAGAGGGGUGAGUUUGCAAUCGGAGAAGAGGCUCCUUGCAUCAUCGCGGAAUGUGUGCGGGACUCCCUUUUCAGUGCCACGGACGCUGUACUUGCUGCUCUUAACCACUUCGAUUUUGCCGACAUCAUUCAGCGUCGCGCCGUGUUACACGAGUUGGCUAAAAUGAUGGCGAGAAGCGAUGCAACUACUCCGUCGUGGGCUGAGGUGUACUUUGACGUUCUUUAUGAGCGCGCGGCUUGGCAUGACGAGGGCCUGUGGGUUGCGUGCGCACUGGCGGCCGCCGCGGUUGGCCAAACUGAGCUGUGCUGGUCAAAGACGGUGCUAGCAUCGUUGAUCCCCGCUAGCUCGAUUUCAUGGAAGCGCGAGCUAAUGCGCCGCAUCGGGCAGCGCGCCAAGAUCAGCGGUGCGCAGCGGGAAGCGCGGCGAUUUUUCGCGGACGCGUCUGAGCGGCUUUCGGCGCUGCAAGGGCCUCCUUUGCCGUGGAAGCGCGAACUGUUAGCCGCGGCGUUGUCUGUAUUUUCUUCUUGACCAGCAGCGGCCAGACAUCAGAGAGGGAGAAGGAAUAGUGAGUGCCUGAUGUGAUGUGCUUGUAUGUUGUGCGCACUGCGUCGACCGUGCAUGCUUUUGAGUGCACGGAGGGGUACUGCGUGGCGGAGCGGUAACAAGACUGUGACUGCCUCUGCGCACUGACGAGCAGGAGGGGAGGAAAGAAAAGGAGGAAAAGCAACCAGGACGGAGUCAACGCGUUCGAGUGAACACGCCUUUUUCUUUUCCGACCGCUGGGAGAAAGCGCGUGUUUGUGUGACUACCUGAGCGUUUGAAACAUCCGUGUAUUCUGCGUGUGAUUCCUGGUUGUCUUGACUUGCCUACU
rnacentral:misc_RNA from 1 species